rnacentral:misc_RNA from 1 species
GCCCGAGCUUGGGUGGCAGUUGGGGACCCUUCUUGAUUGGAAGGAUAUCACCUGUGGCUGUGGAGCUGAGAUAGGCAAGUGCGGAUCCACCACCCAAAAUCAAGAAUUUAAGGAGCAAUCCUCUCUUGGUGAAAGGAGCCGCAAAUGUCUCAAAGAAUUUGCUCUGAAGUGAAUUGUAGGGCGAUGGCGCAUCUGACCCGUAUAAAUCCCACUGUCCAGUAGUGUUGGGGAGAUCCUCCAGGUCGAAGUACACGCUCUUCUCUCCAUACUUGGCCACCACGGCACCGGCACUGGAACGAGAAAGGCUCCGGCGGGCCGGCUUGACGGCGAGCCUGGUGCCGGCGAGGGAGCUACCGGAGAGGCCGUGGACGGUGGUGGCGGGGUGGGCGACGGCGGUCAUGGCGGUGAGGGAAGCCAUUGACGGUGGUGGUGGUGGGGUGUUGGGUGAGAUUGUG